GUGCUGCUGAGGUGUCCAAUACUAGGACGAAACGGCCGUCCAGUGU
rfam:Schistosoma haematobium scaffold812_8, whole genome shotgun sequence.